GGAAAAGAAACCAACAGGGAUUGCCUAGUAACGGCGAGUGAAGCGGCAACAGCUCAAAUUUGAAAUCUGGCCUCACGGUCCGAGUUGUAAUUUGUAGAGGAUGCUUCUGGCGACGUGCCUUCCGAGUUCCCUGGAACGGGACGCCAUAGAGGGUGAGAGCCCCGUCCGGUCGUGCACCUAGCCUCUGUGAAGCUCCUUCGACGAGUCGAGUAGUUUGGGAAUGCUGCUCUAAAUGGGAGGUAUACGUCUUCUAAAGCUAAAUACCGGCCAGAGACCGAUAGCGCACAAGUAGAGUGAUCGAAAGAUGAAAAGCACUUUGAAAAGAGGGUUAAAUAGUACGUGAAAUUGCUGAAAGGGAAGCGCUUAUGACCAGACUUGGGCUCGGUGAAUCAUCCGGCGUUCUCGCCGGUGCACUUUGCCGUCCCAGGCCAGCAUCAGUUCGCGCCGGGGGAUAAAGGCUUCGGGAAUGUAGCUCCUUCGGGAGUGUUAUAGCCCGUUGUGUAAUACCUGGUGUGGACUGAGGUCCGCGCUCUGCAAGGAUGCUGGCGUAAUGGUCAUCAGUGACCCGUCUUGAAACACGGACUGAGGAGUCGUCUUCGUAUGCGAGUGUUCGGGUGUCAAACCCCUACGCGUAAUGAAAGUGAACGUAGGAGAGAGCUUCGGCGCAUCUCCGACCGAUCCUGAUGUUCUCGGAUGGAUUUGAGUAAGAGCAUACGGGGCCGGACCCGAAAGAAGGUGAACUAUGCCUGUAUAGGGUGAAGCCAGAGGAAACUCUGGUGGAGGCUCGCAGCGGUUCUGACGUGCAAAUCGAUCGUCAAAUAU
rnacentral:rRNA from 1 species